AGUGAACGCUGGCGGCAGGCCUAACACAUGCAAGUCGAACGGUAGCACAGUACGAGCUUGCCCUUACGGGUGGCGAGUGGCGGGCGGGGGGGGAAUACCUCCGAAUCUACUGUGUAGUAGGUGAGAACGUAGGGAAACAUACGCCAAUCGCCCAUAGGACCAACGGGUGAGAGCAGCGGCUCUUCCGACCUUGGGCGAUGCAAUGACGCGAGGUCGGAUUAGCUAGUUGGCGGGGUAAAGGCCCACCAAGGCGACGAUCCGUAGCUGGUCUGAGAGGAUGAUCAGCCACACUGGAACUGAGACACGGUCCAGACUCCUACGGGAGGCAGCAGUGGGGAAUAUUGGACAAUGGGCGCAAGCCUGAUCCAGCCAUACCGCGUGGGUGAAGAAGGCCUUCGGGUUGUAAAGCCCUUUUGUUGGGAAAGAAAUCCAGCCGACUAAUACCUGGUUGGGAUGACGGUACCCAAAGAAUAAGCACCGGCUAACUUCGUGCCAGCCGCCGCCGUAA
rnacentral:rRNA from 1 species